GGACUACUGGGGUAUCUAAUCCUGUUCGCUCCCCACGCUUUCGCUUCUCAGUGUCAGUAUCGGCCCAGAGACCCGCCUUCGCCACCGGUGUUCCUCCUGAUAUCUGCGCAUUCCACCGCUACACCAGGAAUUCCAGUCUCCCCUGCCGAACUCUAGCUCGCCCGUAUCGGAAGCAGGCCCGCGGUUGAGCCGCGGGUUUUCACUCCCGACGCAACGAGCCACCUACAAGCUCUUUACGCCCAAUAAUUCCGGACAACGCUCGCACCCUACGUAUUACCGCGGCUGCUGGCAC
rnacentral:rRNA from 1 species